rnacentral:rRNA from 1 species
GCAUGGUUGUCGUCAGCUCGUGUCGUGAGAUGUUGAGUUAAGUCCCGCAACGAGCGCAACCCCUACGUUUAGUUGCUAACAGGUGAAGCUGAGCACUCUAGACGAACUGCCGUUGACAAAACGGAGGAAGGUGGGAUGACGUCAAAUCAUCAUGCCCCUUGUGUUCUGGGCUACACACGUGCUACAAUGGCCGGUACAGACGGAGGCGAAGCCGCGAGGCGGAGCAAAUCCGAAAAAGCCGGUCUCAGUUCGGAUUGCAGGCUGCAAUUCGCCUGCAUGAAGUCGGAAUCGCUAGUAAUCGCAGGUCAGCAUACUGCGGUCGAAUACGUUCCCGGGCCUU